GACAGAGGAUGCAAGCGUUAUCCGGAAUGAUUGGGCGUAAAGAGCGUGUAGGCGGCCUGAAAGGUCAGCUGUGAAAACUCGAGGCUCAACCUCGAGACGUCGGUUGAAACCAUCUGGCUAGAGUCCGGAAGAGGAGAGUGGAAUUCCCGGUGUAGCGGUGAAAUGCGCAGAUAUCGGGAAGAACACCCGUGGCGAAGGCGGCUCUCUAGUACGGUACUGACGCUGAGACGCGAAAGCGUGGGGAGCGAACAGG
rnacentral:rRNA from 1 species